rnacentral:misc_RNA from 1 species
GUAGGUGAACCUGCGGAAGGAUCAUUAAAAACUAAAAACCUCUAAUUUUGAAUCAAAACAAAAAAUUCAAAUUAUUACUAUAAACCCCCCAUCAGUGUCUCUUUUAUAAACAAAAACAAAAUAACUUCUAUCUGAGAAUUAUAGCAUGUCCAGCCGAAUCUCGACUGGGUGUGUUUAGUUUUCAGAAAGAUUUAUAUAACUCUAUACCCCCAAUCAAAUCUCUAUUAAAUGAGGUUUGCUUGAAAACAAAAAAAACAAAACAAAAAACAAAAAAUAGUUGAUACACAACUAAAAAAAACAAAAAAUCGUAGCACAACUUAUAACGAUGGAUGACUAGGUUCUC